rnacentral:rRNA from 1 species
UACGGAGGGUGCGAGCGUUGUCCGGAAUCAUUGGGCGUAAAGGGCGCGUAGGUGGCCCGGUCAGUCUUUGGUGAAAGCGCGGGGCUCAACCCUGCGUCGGCCAGGGAUACUGCCGCGGCUCGAGCACUGUAGAGGCAGGCGGAAUUCCGGGUGUAGCGGUGGAAUGCGUAGAUAUCUGGAGGAACACCGGUGGCGAAGGCGGCGUCCUGGACCAACACUGACACUGAUGAGCGAAAGCCAGGGGAGCAAACGGG